rnacentral:rRNA from 1 species
ACGGAGGAAGGUGGGAUGACGUCAAGUCCUCAUGGCCUUUAUGUCCAGGGCUACACACGUGCUACAAUGGGUGGUACAAAGAGCCGCGAACUCGCGAGAGCAAGCAAAUCUCAAAAAACCAUCCUCAGUUCGGAUUGGAGUCUGCAACUCGACUCCAUGAAGCUGGAAUCGCUAGUAAUCGCGGAUCAGCAUGCCGCGGUGAAUACGUUCCCGGGCCUU